CUGGAGGCGGGAAUCCGCCCUCUAAGGGCAGACACCAACUCCAGACCUUAAAGGAAGGAAGGACUUAAAGUAAUACACUGAUACCAAUACCAGCCUAAGAAAGCAGGAUGAACUGAAUGCAAUGUCGAUCUGUUUAUAUAUGUCAGUUCCUAUAUGUCCAUUUAUUUCCCUCAAAAGUUUUUGAGAGAAACACAGCUUUGAUCCCCAUUCUGCACAUGAAGAAACGGAGGCAGAAAGAGAGACAUACAAAUGGGAAAAAGUUAGUGGGUAUACAAUACAAAAGAACAAAAAAGUUCAUCGAUUCCGAAGAGGACAGAGAAUAAAUACUCCUUGAUGCUAAGUUCUGGAAGAUACUGGGAGAAGAAAUGGAUGCCAUCAUGAUGCCAGGCUGAAGGGAAACAGCCAGCCCUGUACCUUCAGAGUGCAGGGGACAGAAUGGGCAAUUCCAAAGCACGGAGUACACAGGACUGGAGGAAGCAGGUGGCGGGGAGGAGGAAAGUCUUACCAAAUUCCGUGAGCAAAGCCCCAGGAAACUUACCCUAGAGGAAGAGGCUACUGCUAGCAGCAGCAUUGCUUCUGGCAGCAGCACUUACUCUGGCAGCACUUCUGCUGACAGCAGCCCUUCCCACAGCCACAG